rnacentral:snRNA from 1 species
CUAUCUGGUUUCUCUUCAGAUCGUAUAAAUCUUUCACAUUUUACUAAAGAUUUCCAUGGAGAAGAACAAGCACAAAUGUCAAAGAAUUUUUUGAGGGUCCACUUCGAUGGAGCU